GACGAACGCUGGCGGCGUGCUUAACACAUGCAAGUCGAACGGAAAGGCCCUGCUUUUGUGGGGUGCUCGAGUGGCGAACGGGUGAGUAACACGUGAGUAACCUGCCCUUGACUUUGGGAUAACUUCAGGAAACUGAGGCUAAUGCCGGAUAGGAGCUCCUGCUGCAUGGUGGGGGUUGGAAAGUUUCGGCGGUUGGGGAUGGACUCGCGGCUUAUCAGCUUGUUGGUGGGGUAGUGGCUUACCAAGGCUUUGACGGGUAGCCGGCCUGAGAGGGUGACCGGCCACAUUGGGACUGAGAUAAGGCACAGACUCCUACGGGAGGCAGCAGUGGGGAAUAUUGCACAAUGGGCGGAAGCCUGAUGCAGCAACGCAGCGUGCGGGAUGACGGCCUUCGGGUUGUAAACCGCUUUCGCCUGUGACGAAGCGUGAGUGACGGUAAUGGGUAAAGAAGCACCGGCUAACUACGUG
rnacentral:rRNA from 1 species